rnacentral:misc_RNA from 1 species
GAAAUGCGAUAAGUAAUGUGAAUUGCAGAAUUCAGUGAAUCAUCGAAUCUUUGAACGCACAUUGCGCCCAUUAGUAUUCUAGUGGGCAUGCCUGUUCGAGCGUCAUUUCAACUAUCAAGCCCUGUUUGCUUGGCGUUGGGAGACUUGUAGGCCCGGCCUGCAACCUCCUGAAAUAGAUCGGCGGAGUCGUGGCGACCCUCAGCGUAGUAAUUUUUCUCGCAUUAGGUGUCGGCGCCGGCGUCUGGCCGCUAAACCCCUAUUUAUUUUAGUCUUGACCUCGGAUCAGGUAGGAAUACCCGCUGAACUUAA